rnacentral:rRNA from 1 species
GACGAACGCUGGCGGCGUGCUUAACACAUGCAAGUCGAACGGAAAGGCCCUGCUUUUGUGGGGUGCUCGAGUGGCGAACGGGUGAGUAACACGUGAGUAACCUGCCCUUGACUUUGGAAUAACUUCAGGAAACUGGGGCUAAUACCGGAUAGGAGCUCCUGCUGCAUGGUGGGGGUUGGAAAGUUUCGGCGGUUGGGGAUGGACUCGCGGCUUAUCAGCUUGUUGGUGGGGUAGUGGCUUACCAAGGCGUGGACGGGUAGCCGGCCUGAGAGGGUGACCGGCCACAUCGGGAGUGAGAUACGGCCCAGACUCCUCCGGGAGGCAGCAGGGGGGAAUAUUGCACAAUGGGGGGAAGCCUGAUGAAGCAACGCCGCGUGCGGGAUGAAGGCCUUCGGGGUGUAAACCGCUUUCGCCUGUGACGAAGCGUGAGUGACGGUAAUGGGUAAAGAAGCACCGGCUAACUACGUG